GUUCACUGCCGCACAGGUGGCUUAGAAA
rnacentral:other from 1 species